GGUUCGUUGUGCGAUUAUCGAUGCUAUUGGUGCAUGCGUGCGCGUAAAUCGCAUUUCGCAAAUAAGAUUUCGCAGUGAAAAAUACGUUUCUCUAGAGUCCGUCUACUAGAGAAUAAUGCACGACCCACGUUUACCAUGAAACAGACACAUUGAAACGCAUCGUCGCUCUCAUAGAAAUCCGUCGAGACGUUAUGUUCCAUGUACAAUGGCACGUGCAGAGAAUCAUGAAAACGACAAGUUUAGCUCGUAGGAUGUCGUUUCAUUCAAGACUUAUCGAGAUUUGCUCGUUGAUUUAUUCUGUCUGAUGUGUCUUCGUUGUUGGAUGGUGGAAUUUGAACUUGCAAAAGUUUAUGAAUGACUAAACCCAAUCACCAAGGAUCUAAUGCUUCCCGACGAUGAGGCAUCGUAGGGGCUUUCUUCCUUUUGGACGCGUUGUAUCGAUUUCCGCGUCGCGGAAACCACAGAAUCCCCGAACAAGACCGGUCGCUUUCGACCCGAAACUCUGAAACCUGAGACAUACAACGUCUCCUUCGAGGGACAGCGAAAAAGGAUGUGGCACUGCUUCUACGCUCACCAUCGUAACGAUUUUUAUUGUUAUUCAUAUCCACUCGGAGUUAUAUUUCAAUCUAAUUAUUAUAAGAAUUUAUAACAAUAUAAAGUUGAAUUAAAAUAUUUUAAUUAGAUAAAUAAA